rnacentral:lncRNA from 1 species
AUUCUUCUGAACUGAGGUUGACUGCAGAUAACCAAAACCAUGGAUAAGUCCUUGCAGCCAGGACAUGUGACCUGAUUCUGAGAAAUGGCCCCAUAGAAGUUUGAUAAGGAGGUUUUGAAAUGCUUUCCUUCCCGAUGAAAAGAACUAUGUGAGAAGAAAACUACUUUUUUUUUUCCAUCUUGGACAUAGUUGUAUGAAGUGUGAUGCCUGGAGUUAUGACAGCCAUCUUGCAACCAUGAGAAGAUAAGGCUGUGGAUGAAAACCAAUAUACCAAGAAUGGUUGUGUUAAAAGAUGAAAAGAGCUUGGGUCUUGAAUGUCAUCACUGAACACUUCACCAGUUUUCAAACAGCCCUAUUUCUGAACUCUUGUGAUGUGAGAUUACU